rnacentral:rRNA from 1 species
AAACUGAAGAGUUUGAUCCUGGCUCAGAUUGAACGCUGGCGGCAUGCCUUACACAUGCAAGUCGAACGGCAG